UCGCAACCCAACUCCUCCAAUGGAUGCCGCCCGAACUACAUCAUCCAAUAGGACGCCGUCCGUGGCGUCACGAAGUUGCUGGCGUCGCCCAGUUCGCCAUGGGUGAAGGUGCCUCAGACGCAAGCAAAGCUGUAGCUUCCUCAACGUAUGCCUCACCAUGGGGCUCGCUGUGCUGCUGGCGGACAGCCGCGGCCCCUCUGGUGUGGUGCGAGACUUCCAGAUCACCCGACGGCUGGGGUUGGAGGAUGGCAUUCCCACAACUCCUCAUCGGGGGUGAGCGUGGCAUGGAGCAGCAAGCCCAUAGCUCCCUCAACCAUCAUGCUAAUCUCUUCUUGUUAUUCAUCCUGAAUCUAUGGUGCACAUACAGUACAUGCUUAUGUAUUGUCUCAAUGAUUAUCCUAUUUUUUUAGGAUUCAACUUGCGUUUUGUGCAAUUUCAUAUACUCAAUCAAUAAAUUCUUAGUUUUUUUGCAGGAUUUGUGUUUGUUCGGAUGCUUAGGUGCAGCUGCAUAAGGGAAUUGGCCGACGGUGUGCAAUACAUAGACAAAGUAAAAGUCAGUAUGGAGCAAAUACGAGUUCGGUUGCUCUUCUGACAAUUUCACUUUGAUUUUGUUGUUAGUGACUGAUUGAGGCGUCACUCCCACCACGGUGGUGACGGCAACCUUCCACCUCCAGCCGCUGUGGCCGUAGCGUACCGCUCCAAUGCCAUCUGACACAACCGUCUUGUGGUGGAGGAGGGCCACCUCGAACACAUUGGGAAGCGGUGAGCGUGGGCUUCACCACAUGUUCUGCCGAGUCAUCGAUGUCAGUUUCUAGGUUUGUGAGUGCAUUGUCUGGUGCUUCUUUUUACGAUGUCUGUCAACACAAGCACAUCGUGUUCCAAGUAUGAACGGAGAGAGUGCUCCCAUUGGGUUCUACAUGUGGACAUUGUGGCCGGUGAGGCAUAACUGGAAGUUUCUCUGAUGGUCGACAACAAGGAUCACUGCACAAUAGGCUUUGGAGCAGGCUCUGAUUCACGGAGAACUCCCAGCAACCUCAUCUUUUGUGGAUAUUAGAUGGAUAUUGAAUCCAGUAAGCCUCCAAUUGAUAAACAAAGUCAAUUUUCUGUUGGUAGUUUGCAUGACAGGGUUCUAGCUAAUUUAUGAUUGUGCCUACAACAGACUACCUCUGCCUGAAGAUUUGAGGUGUGACUCAAAUUUCGUGCUGUUAGAAAUCAACAAUGGAGAUUUCAGUUUUUUUCAUGUAUAUUCGUACAGAUUUCAAGUUUAAUGAAUCAUUAAAUUUUAUUCUAUAAUCAGAUCUUGGUAUGUUUUCAGAUUUUUCAGAGAAGAAAGAAGUCUAGAGGCGUGGAUGUAUGUUUUUAGGGGGGAAUCAAGUCUGUAGAAUAUACACUAAUUUGAGGAAUUCAGAUGUUACCCUUGGUCAUACAGGGAAAGUGUGAAGCACUCUGGCUAAUUUUCCGCAUUUCUCAUCCAAGAAGCCGUUACAUUUAUGAUCUUUUCUAUAGAAGA